rnacentral:rRNA from 1 species
AUUGAACGCUGGCGGCAGGCCUAACACAUGCAAGUCGAGCGGAUGAGGGAAGCUUGCUUCCCGAUUUAGCGGCGGACGGGUGAGUAAUGCCUAGGAAUCUGCCUAUUAGUGGGGGAUAACGUUCCGAAAGGAACGCUAAUACCGCAUACGUCCUACGGGAGAAAGUGGGGGAUCUUCGGACCUCACGCUAAUAGAUGAGCCUAGGUCGGAUUAGCUAGUUGGUGGGGUAACGGCUCACCAAGGCGACGAUCCGUAGCUGGUCUGAGAGGAUGAUCAGCCACACUGGAACUGAGACACGGUCCAGACUCCUACGGGAGGCAGCAGUGGGGAAUAUUGGACAAUGGGCGAAAGCCUGAUCCAGCCAUGCCGCGUGUGUGAAGAAGGUCUUCGGAUUGUAAAGCACUUUAAGUUGGGAGGAAGGGUUGUAAGCUAAUAUCUUGCAGCUUUGACGUUACCAACAGAAUAAGCACCGGCUAACUCUGUGCCAGCCGCCGCCGUAA